GCCAGCCGCCGCGGUAAUACGGGGGAUGCAAGCGUUAUCCGGAAUCAUUGGGCGUAAAGCGCCUGUAGGUUGUUUAAUAAGUCUGUUGUUAAAGACUAGGGCUCAACCCUAGAAAAGCAAUGGAAACUGUUAGACUAGAGUAUGGCAGGGGUAGAGGGAAUUUCUAGUGUAGCGGUGAAAUGCGUAGAUAUUAGAAAGAACACCGGUGGCGAAAGCGCUCUACUGGACCAUUACUGACACUCAGAGGCGAAAGCUAGGGUAGCAAAAGGGAUUAGAUACCCCUGUAGUCCUAGCCGUAAACGAUGGAUACUAGAUGUUGUAUGUUAUUUACAGUAUCGUAGCUAACGCGUUAAGUAUCCCGCCUGGGGAGUACGCUCGCAAGGGUGAAACUCAAAGGAAUUGACGGGGGCCCGCACAAGCGGUGGAGCAUGUGGUUUAAUUCGAUGCAACGCGAAGAACCUUACCAGGGCUUGACAUACUACAGAUUCUUUUGAGAGAGAGAAGUGCCUUCGGGAAUGUAGAUACAGGUGGUGCAUGGCUGUCGUCAGCUCGUGUCGUGAGAUGUUGGGUUAAGUCCCGCAACGAGCGCAACCCUUAUUUUUAGUUACCAAUUCGUUGGGUUCUCUAGAAAGACUGCCGGUGACAAACCGGGAGGAAGGUGAGGAUGACGUCAAGUCAGCAUGCCCCUUAUGUCCUGGCUACACACGUGCUACAAUG
rnacentral:rRNA from 1 species